rnacentral:rRNA from 1 species
CCUACAUGUGUAGGAUAGGUGGGAGGCUAUGAAGACGUGACGCCAGUUGCGUUGGAGCCGUCCUUGAAAUACCACCCUUGUAUGUUUGAUGUUCUAACUUAGCCCCAUUAUCUGGGGUGAGGACAGUGCCUGGUGGGUAGUUUGACUGGGGCGGUCUCCUCCCAAAGAGUAACGGAGGAGCACGAAGGUGGGCUAAUCACGGUUGGACAUCGUGAGGUU